rnacentral:misc_RNA from 1 species
CUUGUAACAUUUCAGAGCGGUAUAUACGUCAGAGCGAUGUUUCUCCCGGACACGAACCCAGAGCGUCGACACUACUGUAUCAAGUUACUGAUUUACUGCGCUGUUCCUAGUCUACAAGAGCGUUGCUUUCCUCCCCAUAGAUGAGAACGAUCAUUGAUGGUAAGGAAAUUAUCAGCCAACCCGUGGUUGAAACAGCUCGGUG